rnacentral:rRNA from 1 species
UACGGAGGGGGCAAGCGUUAUUCACCUUGACUGGGCGUAAAGGGUAUGUAGGUUGUUUUUAUAUUUAUAAAAUAAGUAAUCCAAGCACAACUUUUGAAGUUAUUUUAUAUAAAUUUAGACUUGAGGUAAUAAGAAGUAUGUUACAUUUUUGAAGGAGGGGUGAAAUCCUGAAAUAUUAAAAAGAUAGCUGUAUGGCGAAAGCUACAUACUAUUAUUAUACUGACACUGAGAUACGAAAGCAUGGGGAUCAAACAGG